rnacentral:lncRNA from 1 species
GGUGGUAAAAAAAUUGGCGCCGUAUAAAUAACUGAAACAGAAUAACAUGUUCCUACAUAAUUUCAUGGUUACAAAAUACAACUGCACAAGAUGUAAAGAAAUCAAAAUAAAUCAUUAUUAACUAUAGCAACAAAAUACAAACAUCGAACUUUCCAAAAACACAUCCCCUUAUGGUUGACUAUAAUCCAAUUGAUUGAUACGAAGAUCAUAUUUUAUAAGAGCCAAAUUACAAAAGCUUAACCGUUUAUUGACACUAUAGAGAGAGGAAUGAUAUCAGAAGAAGAGAGUCCAUGAGAGAUUGCGGAUCUGAGAUGGGGGUGACGUGCAUUAUACUACUUCCUCAGUUAUGUGAGCAGCCGAUUGAUCUAGCUUCUUGGAAAGGAUCCAUGAACGACUCCAUUCCCACCAGCUUCUUGCUUGUUCUCCUAUAGCAGAAACAGAUUGGAAUCCAGCUGAUGCUAUCUCCGUUGGUUUGUUUGAGAGAUUGAGUGAGAGUGAAGAAAGGCUACGUCGGAUGAUACCUGCAGGCUUAUCAUCAUCGGUGGUGGUGGAGGAAGUAGGACGCUGAGAAACGGGGAGAGAAACUUGUUUGCGAAUCUGGAGAGUUUCCAUCAUCGAGCUCAUUGCUUUUUUUUUUAGAGAGAGAGAGAGAGAUGAAGAAGAAGAAAUGAAAUGUUUUGGAGUAAUAGAGAGAAAGUAGUGAUCAUAGCUCUAACACAGGCUGUGUUUUUAUUACACUUUUCUCUCUCUCUGUCUGUGUGGGGUCCAUUAACUUUUAUGCCCAGCCAAUUACACCUAUAAUGUUUGUUUGAAGAGACCCAUUGGACUAGGGCCCAAUAAUUUUAAGGCCCAAUAAUAAAGUAUUACGCGCUUUUUUGUAUAUUUCUCUUAUUAUUAUUACAUUUAAUUUAGCUUCGAGUGUGGUCGGAUCAGAGAGAUCUGAGAGAGCUUCUCACGAUGGAGUACCGUAAAAUCAAAGACGAGGAUGAUGAUCAUGACGUGGCUUCUGAUCUCGAGAGUUUAAAGGGAAAACCUCACACCGGUUAGUUUUUUUCUUUCUCCUUCGUAUCUCAAAAUCUCUGCUUCUUUGCUCAUUGGUUGCUUCAAUUUGGUUAGUUGCUUCGAGUAACAUUGCUCUGGUUGGUGCUGGAUCGAACGAAAGAACCAACUGGAAACGAAAGUAAGUUCCUUUAUUCGAUUUUCUUGUCGGAAAGAUACUAUCUUUUUGGGGUUGUAUUAAGUUAAAUUGUGUUUGAGGGGGGGCAGGGGUGUAGUAACAUGUGCACUGACCAUCCUCACGAGCUCCCAAGCCAUACUCAUAGUUUGGUCUAAACGAGCUGGCAAGUAUGAGUACAGUGUUACCACCGCCAACUUCUUGGUUAGUUAAUUUAAUUAAGCAAUGUGUUGUAUGGUACAAGCGAGCUACUUUAGUGAAUUGUUUAAUCUUUGGACGUCAGGUUGAGACUCUAAAGUGUGCGUUGUCUCUUCUUGCGUUGACAAGAAUAUGGAAGAACGAAGGUGUUACUGACGAUAAUAGGUUAAGCACAACGUAUGACGAAGUUAAAGUCUUUCCCAUUCCUGCNNNNNNNNNNNNNNNNNNNNNNNNNNNNNNNNNNNNNNNNNNNNNNNNNNNNNNNNNUUCCUGCUGCUUUGUAUCUUUUCAAGAAUCUCUUACAGGUUUUGCUUUUUUCUUGGGUUUUUUUUGGCUUUGGUCAAUGUUUGUGGCAUCUUCUUUCCGUGUUAAUCAGUUUUCUGACUACUUGUGGUGUGACUUUUUAUGUGGAAGUACUAUAUUUUUGCAUACGUUGACGCGCCAGGCUAUCAGAUAUUGAAGAACCUGAACAUCAUAAGUACUGGUGUCUUGUACAGGAUUAUACUCAAGAAAAAGUAUGUUGUUUAUUCCUCCAAAUGGAUUUCAUAGCUUGUUCUGUUUAUUCACUUUGCUUUACUUUCUUCUCUAAUAAGGUUGAGCGAGAUUCAGUGGGCGGGCUUCAUCCUAUUGUGUUGUGGAUGCACCACUGCUCAGUUGAAUUCAAAGUAAAUUUGGCUCUCUCGACAUUUUCCCCCUUUGAUUUUAUUUACUGCUAUCAGCGUGUGGUUAGUCUCUACUGAUUUUUUUUUUCACUACAUAGUCUCAUAUUUGAAUGUUAACUUUUGCAGUUCUGAUCGUGUACUUCAGACAUCUCUUCCCGGCUGGAUUAUGGCAAUUGUAAGUUGUUACCCACCACCUUAACUUGCUACUAAGAGAGUAGUGAAGCUACUACUUCCACGUCCACGCUAAUUCAUAUGAUUAUUUGCCGUUGUUUCUAGGUUAUGGCUCUUUUAAGUGGUUUCGCUGGAGUGUACACAGAGGUGAGCUUAUUAUGACUUUUAUACCCAAAGCUAGCUCUGAUUAUACUUCCUUUUAUUUGUGUAGCAUUGAUUUAAUUUGUUGUUUAAAACAGUAGAAUAUGACCAGUCCAUUUUUAUGUCUUGGAUUUUUAAAAAGUUUUGCUUUCCAUUUUUUUGGCAGGCUAUAAUAAAAAAGAGGCCAUCAAGGAAUAUAAAUGUACAGAACUUCUGGCUAUACGUCUUUGGGAUGGCUUUCAAUGCUGUUGCUAUUGUCAUCCAAGAUUUCGAUGCCGUGGCUAAUAAGUAAAUUCCUAAACUCAUCUCCUUAUUUUUGUCCACAGUCAGUAACCAUUUUCCUCACAAAAAUGCUACUUAUUUAUAGCUGGCUGAACUAUUAUGCUGUUAUCUCGCAUCUGCUCUGGUAUUAAAGGGGUUGGUUUUUUUUUAAUUUUCAGAGGAUUCUUCCAUGGUUACUCAUUUAUCACAGUACUCAUGAUUCUCAACCAUGCUCUCAGGUAAAAAAAUCUGCUUUUGAGGCCAGAUUCUUCUCUUUAACUCUAAUCUCAGUUUACAUGUAGUUUAACACAUUAAAAACAUUAUUCUCCUGUUUGUUUUGCAGUGGUAUUGCUGUGUCAAUGGUGAUGAAAUAUGCAGACAAUAUUGUAAAGGUAAUAAUAAACUUGCACGCCGGCAUAAGUAGUAGUCACUUUUGAAACACGGGGUUUAACCUCUAGCGAUAUGUAUGUAGGUUUAUUCGACGUCAGUGGCAAUGCUUCUCACCGCGGUUGUCUCUGUAUUCCUAUUCAAUUUUCAUCUUUCACUAGCUUUCUUCCUUGGUUCAACGUAAGUUAUAACCGCAUCUUGCCUCUGCCAAUACAAAAUCCAUUCUCAACCUUUUCACAGAAGAGCUGAUGUUUACUGUGUUUGCACUUUGGCAGGGUCGUCUCUGUUUCAGUAUAUUUGCAUUCAGCUGGGAAGCUACGAUGAUAGGCAAAGAAGGAUCUCUAAUACUUGAGCUGCCAAAAGAAAAGUCUUGCCAUUAUUCUAGCACAGAGAGAUGAAGCUUUUUUUUGACAAUUGUGAUAUUGUAUUUCGUGUAGCCUAUAGGGUAAAUUCACAUUCAAUAUUUGAAAAAGAGCAUAAUGUAGCACUCUUGUGCAAAUCAGGCAUUACCUAAAAGACACUGGUGGAGAUUUAAAAAAAAAUUAUUAAAAAAGUAUUAUUGUUAUUAAACAUUGUAUGAGGAGUAAAUGCUUUCCAAGGUAUCACAAAUUUAAACUUUGCUUCGACACAUGCCUCUAUUAUUGUACUAUAGACCUAUUCAAUAGUGCUGAUUUACUAAGCACGGUAGAGUUUUAUUUAUCUAUUUCACUUCGUUAUGUGGCAUUGUACAACGUUGUACUAUGUUGAGAUUUGGGUGUCUUUGGCUAUUUAACGAUCGCAAUGACAUGAUAUGAUGUUAUUUACUGAGUUUAAGUCUACAACAAGUUAUUUUUUUAAGUCACGAUCUCAAAUCUACAAUAAUUCUUUUUUAAAAUGAAAACUUUCUAAAAAUAGUAGGUUAUUAUUAAAAAAAUGCAACCUAUUAAUGAAAAAUUCUGAAGGAAUACUCGUCUAUCAACAAAAAUUCUUGUUAUCCUUAUUCCUAAGUCACAAUCUCAAAUCUACAAUAGUUCUCUGUAGAAAUAAAAACGUCCCAAAAAUAGCAUCUUUCAUAAAAAUUAUUGAAAAAAUGCAACUUAUUGAUGAAAAAUUCUGAAAGAAUACUCAUCUAUCAACAAAAUUUGUUGUUAUCCUUAUUCAUAAGUCACAAUCCCAAACCUACCAAAGUUCUCUAUAAAAUAAAAAGUUUCUAAAAAUAGGAGGUUUUUCAUAAAUUAUUUAAAAAAUGCAACCUAUCGAAGAAAAAUUAUGAAAAAAUACUCAUCAAUUAACAAAAUAUCUUAUUAUACUAAUUUCUAAGUCACANNNNNNNNNNNNNNNNNNNNNNNNNNNNNNNNNNNNNNNNNNNNNNNNNNNNNNNNNNNNNNNNNNNNNNNNNNNNNNNNNNNNNNNNNNNNNNNNNNNNGAUCCUCUACUCAAAAGUUAGUUUACGUACUUCCAGUACAGAAAAAAAGAAUUAUACACAAAAAUAAUUAAAUUAAAUUUUUUUAUUUUUGUAAACUUUAAGUCAAUUUAGUUAAAAUAUUUAAAUUUUCCUUAAACAUUUGAACUACAGAUUGGUUAUAUAAAUUUUCCUUAACCGAAUCAUUUUCCUUCUUUUUUUGAAAAACAAAAUGAUUCAUUCAAUAGAAAUCAGUUCACCACAAUGAUGAAGUAGAGUAGAGAGGGGCCUUUGCCAAAUAGUCCGCAACCGAUUUUUGAUACCUAAGGAUAAAUGAGAAAAAAACAAAGUCGAAAAAAAAUGAUAGACAAUUAUUAACAUCCAUGAGAACUCCAAAGAGUUCUCUAACCGAAUUUAACAUAUGCAUUUCUGGUGCUAUUCAUUUUCUAUAGCUUAUGUUUAGAGAAGCUUGAGAAACCAGUUCUACAUUUUGUCAGUCUCUUAAUAAUACAACUAUCUUUUAAUUAUUAAAAAUUUAGUUAUAUAUCUAAAUUAUACUCCCUCUGUUUUUAUUUGUAAGUAGUUUUAGUUAAAAGUGUGAAUAUUAAGAAAACUUUUACUUUUGAAUAAAUAGCAUUUAAUACAUAAAUUCAACCAAUAAUAAAAAAAAGUAUGAAUUAUUUGAUUGGUCACACAACAUGUAAUAAAUGUAAAAGGUGCUUUGGAUUAUGUAAACAUCAUUGUGAAACAAACAUUUUUUGAUAAAACUACUUACAUAUCAAAACAGAGAGAGUAUUAAAUUAUUACUCUCUCCGUUUCGAUUUAAUUGUCGUUGNNNNNNNNNNNNNNNNNNNNNNNNNNNNNNNNNNNNNNNNNNNNNNNNNNNNNNUCAAAAUAAGUGUCGUUUUAGAGUUUCAAUGCAAAAUUUAUUAAUAAGAUUCUCCAUUUUAUUUUUUUAUUGGUUGAAAUAUGGUUAGGUGUAUAGGUAAUUGUGUUUUUGUUUUAGAAAUAUACAAAAUCAUAUGUUUUUUUAAUUUGUGUGCAUAAACCUAAAACGACAAUUAAAGUGAAACGGAAGGAGUAUUAUAUUAUAUCUGAUAGACUAUGUUUGAGAGAUUCAUCAUUGAAAAUGCUUUUGAUACUUUAUAUAUAGAAGUUUUAGAUACAUAUUAUUAAUAUAAGUACAUAAUCCACAAUUUCUUUAUGUUGAAUGCAUCUUUCCCACACUAAAAGACUAAUAUUGCGCUAAUUAGUCCUUGCGUAUGGUCGAAUCUUGUUGUUAAAAAAAAAAGUCCUUACGUAUGGUCUACUUCUGACUGGUUUAAGAUAACGUAGGAUGAUUGGAUGAAAAUUUAGGACCACUAGAUUCAUCACAGCUAGUCGUUUAAGAUUAACCUGAAAACUAUACGUGAAAACUGCAGUACGUAGGGUGUAACCCGUGACCCAUGGAAUGGAACGAGCAGAAACACUAUGUUCCUUAAUAUUCCUUAAAUUUUUUUACCAUUUACGAGGAAUAAAUUUUUUUUUUCGUUCAUUUGUUUGUAGAUAAUUAUAGAACAAAUCAAUCUCUCGUUAAUUUUGAUAAGGAACCAUCAUUCCUAAAAUUUUAUUCAUACUCGUUCUUUUUCUAUCCUUUCCUAUUGUUCCUAUGAUGAUUACCAGUCACACCCGUAGUGUAUUCAUAAUGCAGGACCACUCUAAGGUAAAUAUGUGUCUCAGAUUUUGCUCUAAAUCAGACGUCAGAACUUUUAUAGUGUUUCUUUUUGUUUUUUGUCAUAAGACUUACGAAAUUUUUUUUAACUUGCACUAUAUUUCUUCAAAUGUAAUAGAUCUCUGCAUUCAAUUACAAAAGGAAUAAAAAGUCUUAGUUAGUAGAAGAACUAAAAGAUGAAUAAAAAUGUUACUAGUUUUGUUUAGAUACAGAAUUGCCCCAGAAUCUUGAAAACUGCCCGCACUUACAUCUUUGCACCGACAUAACGUUUACUUUCCAGUAAUGAACUGGAUACAAAUUCCCCUCAUGGUUACUAAUUUGGGCAUUAAUUAAUGUGGUCAUAUUCUUAUCAAGCUAAGUAGAAAAGAGCGAUUGGAACACUGAAAACUAAGUCGAUUAUAGGGUAUAGUAGUUGGAAGAUUAACAUAGUCUCCACUCUUCACAUUAAGAUCAUGAAAAACCCAUCGAGUAUCAAAGGAUAUAUAUAUAUAUAUAUAUAUAUGUAUAUCAGGUUUAACUGGUGCAAGAUGGUGCAAUAAAAUGAAAUAUCCAUUAUUGAAGGCCUUUGUCAUACACAAUCCAGACUUCAGGUAUUUCAAAAAACACACCAGACACAAACUAUUUAGUAUUGAUCAGAAUUUUUGUGCAUCAACCAAAGGGUCCAGCGCUACAUUUGUAUAUAGCUCCCUGGAAAUUCCGGAAAGUACAUUGCUCCUUAGCUAACUUGCAAAAAGACUUCUUAAAAACUGAAUAUAUCAAUCAAGUUGCUAAACUGAGUCCGAUAGCCAGACCAGAACCAAACCAACUCUUUGCAUGAAAUAUCUUUUUUUUUUGGAACGCUCAUGAAAUAUCUUCAAGUGUCUAAAAUUGACAAUAAACCAAAUGUUAUGGACCACUAAAAGAUAUUUCUGAUUAUUAAAAAAUCUAUCUUUAUUUUCAAAGUAAAACAACGACUUUAAUGGUGGACUUGAAGGCACGAUAUUAUUCGCAGUUGAUGUAAGGAAAUUAAUUCGAAAUACAUAAGGCUUAUUUAUUUUCCAUGUAGGAACAAACUAAGAAAUAACAUUUUUAGUUCAACUAUAAAUAAAAACAUAGAACGUUUCAGUCGACUGUCUAAUCUGCAACCACAAUUUUGACCAAAUAAUAUAAAGCUUAAGCUUUGUAUAUGAUCUAAUUUGCAUUUUGAGAACCAACGAACUUGGACUAGUAACACUUGAGGGAUAAUUCCAAUACGAUAAACCGCAGUUCGAUCUCCGUUGGCCACCAAAUAAUUUAACAUUGUACUCAUAUGUAACAUUUCAGAGUUCGAUGUACUAAAUAUAUAUUUUUAAAAUUAGCUUAUUAGAGAAAAUAAUAUAAAAUAGUUUAUUUGUAACAAAAGCACACUUUGAUUGGCCAUUUAAUUUUCAAAUUUAAGUUUGAAUUGAAGUUUCCUUGAUUAUAGUUUUCUUUUCUUGGUCAGCAUCAUCCGUUACUCUCAGAAGAAAUUUGUAUCCUGCACUUAUUUCCCAUUACAUUUCCCAACCUUCUAAAUACAAGGUCAUAACCAAAAUAUUAAAAUCCUAAAGCAAAUCAAAAGUAUUAUUGGGAAGCAAGACCUAUAACUAAUAGGAAGAGAUGACGACGUGGCCGGCUAAAUCUUCUCUGCCACAGACGGUAAGUCCAGUCUACUUUGUGCAGAGCCCACCGAACACAGACGUAGACAAGAUAUCAACCGGAUCGGGUCUUAGCCCGUUCGGAUCACCCGUUAACCGACAGGGCCAGGUCAGUCACUACAACCAUGAGUCUGUGGCCGUGUCACCUUCGACUCUACGGUCCUCAGGACCAUUGAGAAACGGAUACAGUAGUCUCCAAGUGCAUGAUCAUGACCAAACAAUCGACGAGGAUGAUGACGAUUACGAUGAAGUAGACGGUUCGGAUGAGAAAAGAGGAAGGAGAACGAGGUUUUACACUUGCUUGUUGUUUACGUUUGUGCUGGCCUUCACUAUCUUCUGUCUCAUUUUGUGGGGAGUUUCCAAAUCUUUCUCACCUAUUGUCACUUUGAAGGUAAUUCAUAGAGCUUUGACUGUUCCGGAAAUAAAUUUUGCUCUUGUGAAAAUUAUUACAUUCUCUAGAGAUAAAAUAUUUCUCUGUUUUCGUAAUUAUAUUUUGUGAAGUGUGAAAGCGAAAUUAGUUUUACGUUUUGAUUGUUGUUUUUCUUAACAUGUAGUAUAACUUCCAAAAUGAAUUAAAAACAUAAAAAUAAACAUAAUCAGAUAUUCAAAUGACAAUGAUGCCACAAUAAGUGUAUUUUGUGGAGUUUAAAAAUUUAAUAUGAAGAAUUAUAUAAAUAAAUAUACGGAAAAAUGAAUAUGUAAUACAUAUAUUUUUAAGUAUUAUCAAAGUAUUAUAAUGUUAAAAAGUAUUAUAAGUGUUACAAAAAAAAGUUAAAAAGUAUUAUAAAAAGAAUAAGUAUUAUUCGUUCACAGAAUGUUUGCAUAUAUGUAUUACUUUAACAAAACAUAUUGUGUGAAAUUAAAUUUCUAUCACAAAACUGUAAUUAAAAAGGUGUUCAUGUAAUGUUAUCUGUACAUUCAGGGGAUGGUAAUCGAGAGCUUGAACGUGCAAUCCGGGAACGACGCAUCGGGAGUGCUCACAGAUAUGCUCACUCUAAAUUCAACGGUCACGAUGUUAUACAAAAACCCUGCGACUUUCUUCACAGUCCAUGUCACCUCCUCUCCCCUCCUCUCCCCUCCAGCUCAGCUAUUACCAACUCAUCCUCGCCUCCGGCCAGGUAAACAAUUUCACAUCUUAUUGCUUGAACCGGCCGGUUAUAUGAUUUAUGAACUACUUUAGUUUUUUUGGUUGUGAGAAAAAAUAGAUGGAAAAGUUCUCUCAACGAAGGAAGACCGAGAGAAUCAUUGAGACCAAAGUAAUAGGCAUUCAAAUUCCUUUGUACGGAGGCGUACCAGCUCUAUACGCGCAACGAGCUAAACCAGACCGAGUUGUUUUGCCUUUGAAUUUAACUUUUACGUUGCGAUCACGGGCCUAUGUGCUCGGCCGAUUAGUCAAAACGAAGUUCUACACGAGCAUGAGAUGCAGCAUCACUUUCCAUGGCGAUAAACUUGGCAAGAAAAUUGAUUUCUUGAAGUCUUGCUCUGAUCAUUGAUAGAAAAUCAGCAGCGAAAUCAGUUCUUUAUGUUUAUUAGGGAAGAUUAAAUUAUUUUGAUGAGAUAUAUACGUGUGAAGGUCUGGACCAAUAUAAAUAGGGUUGUAAUUAAUUUUUUUAUACUACUAUAUUUGAUCGAUAAUCAUUAUUUCCUUUUUUUGUGAGAAAUCUUUGAAUAAUCAUAAUUACAAAAUUCAAUUAUUUCCGUUAAUUUUUAUCCAUAAAAUAUAAAAUAUAAUGAUUUUGUUAUCUUUUUGUGUAAAUAAAAGAGUUGAAACGUUGGUGGGGAUUCAAUACGCUGCCGUUUUCUUAAUCUCCAUGCCUAGUGGUCAUUAGGUUCCUACUUGAACAUCCUGUGACGGAAUACUUCAGGGAUUGAAGAAGUUUGCAUGUAAACCCUUAUCAGCCAAGCGCAGAGCCGAUGCAACCACAAACAAAACGCUGAAAGACGCUCCUAUGCUUCCCACCGAUACGUUGAACCACCACAUCAGACUUUCCCUUUGGGGCUGUUUAAUAGAGAUCCACAUGAAACACGGGUAUGUAAAUGUAACCAGCAAGCCUAUAGCUCCAAUAAGAACCGCGAGAUAAGGCAAGAACGUGAAUCCAACGGCUACAAAGAAACAAACCAAACACAAGAACACACGAAACAUCAUCCGGACAAAGACGGAGCAAGGCUUGUGUCUCUUGGUCGUGUACACCAUCUCUGCGUUGUCACAAGCUGGCAUUAAGUUUAUCGGAUAUGAACAUAAGCAGUUGAUGAUGAACGUGAUGUGUAUGAAACAAGCGGCUCGUUUUGAGUAGUCUUGUUCGUAAAGUUCCAAGUAGUUGCCUAUUGGACCUCCUGUGGCCGGUAUCUAUCAUAUAUAAGAAUUAAUAUUAAAGUUCAAACACAUAAAAGCAAUAAUGUGUUGGAUUUUGACAUACCUUGUCACCGUAUGCCCAAUAUACAACAAUGGCUACUAGAAACAUACAAACUGCAAUGAACACAUGAGAGAUCACCACAGCUCUCCACAUUGUCUUUCUCGAAGGAUUCUUUGAAUCGGAAGGAAGAGUACCCUACAAAAAUAUCACAAGAAACCUUGUCAAUACUAUCCUAAUUAAAGUUGUAUAUAAAUAAGUUUUAAAAUGCUAUUUUUCUUAGUAUUAUCUUAAGACCUGUAUCUCGAGGAUGAGGUUGUUCCCGCGAAAUGAUAUAGCUAUCAAUCCAAUGGCGUUAAAAAUGGUAUCGAAACUUGUAUCCUUUGUAGCGUAAGAGAUAUUGUUUUGAUUCCUAUGCGGAAUACUAGCUAAAGGUAAACUCCAGAUUGCGGUGCAGUAUGCUAUGGCCAUAACACCACCGAUCAACGAGAGUCCAAAAAGAGAAUUUAGAUUUGGAAACUGACACAUGACCACUGCGAGGCAGCUGAAGAUCACGAAGCAUUGCAAGGUAGUAAGUGGCACUUUGCCAUCUUCAGACAUAAUGUGUACAAGUUGUUUUAUUGUUUUUCCACCGGUUAUAACCAGAAUCGAACAAGCUCCUCCUGAGAGAUACAUCACAGGGAAUAUUCCAAGAAGUUUCCCCAGCUUCACACCUAUUAUAUUGUUAUCGUGGCAUAACGUUAAAAUUGUUGUAUGACAAAAAAACGACAAAGUUCUAAAGAAUUUAGUAUUUACCGAAUGAAGCAAUUGCGAGUCUCAAGUAUCUGCUGAAACGUAUUCCGUGUACGGCUUCGUGGAGAUGAACAAGAAGCCAUAUCGUGUAAAGCUUCCAUGCAAAUCCAACCGUUAAAAUUAUCACUCCCCAUACCCUGGAAAAAAAAACUUUCUGAUUAUGGUAAGAAUUGAAAGAGAAGUUAAUUAAAAGAGAAAAGUUUUAUUUGAAAUGGGAUUUUACCAUCCUAGUGCUGCGAAAGCUGCAGGAAGAAGAAGAACUUGUAAACCAAGUCCCGAGCAGAAAAGAUGAAACGUUGCCGUAUAAACAUUCCCUUUUCUUGAUUCUGUGAUCGGCAGCCACUCUUCUAACGGAAUCCGCCCACCAUCUCCGUCGGAGGUUGGCUGUGGAUCCUUGGAGAGUGUUUGUGACAUAAAUGAAGGAGAACCACCACGUUCUUGUGAUUCUAAAUCAAACAAUGUGGCCAAUGCUUUUUUUGACAUUGUAUAAAAUAUUAAAAACCCUUUUUGUUUCUCUCUCUCUCUCUCUCGAGGAUUCAACGUACAGCCACAAAUUGAAUGAGCUAUGCAUUCUUCCUCUCCAUUCACUGGAUUAUAUAGUUAAAUUAUCGGGAACGUGCGUAAUUGGGAAGCUGCGUUAUUAAAUUUACUUGGGAGUAUUUUAUAGAGGUCAUUUAAAAUUUCGUCUCUUAAGUACAUUUUCAUUAUUGUAUAUAUAUUUUCCUUAGGUCGGACUCUAUAUAAUCAAAUCAAAUAAAAUCAAUAAUACUUAAAGAAUAUUGGUGCACAUGUUAUCUAUAAUUGAUAACACAUUAUCAUUAUUAAUUCAUCAUAAUUAUAUACAAUAUGUUGAGUGUGGGCGAGUUGAAACAAGAAAUCAAUUAUAAACACUGGGAGUGAUAAGAUAAUGACAUAAGAAUAAUGACGUAAUCAGUUAUGUCACUUUCAAAUACUGAAAAGUGAGACCCACGCGACGUGUAUAAAUCGAAGUCUUCUGAUUUUGUUGGGUGGUGGCUUUAUAACUCAAGUGGGUCUGGUCGGGUGCAAAAGUUUCUAAUCUGGUUUGCGUUUAAAUUGCUGACCUUCUAGUCAAACAAGCGUCAAUAUUGAGCCGAACUUCCUUCGUCUCUUUGGUUACACGAUUUAAAUGUUUAAGACUUAUUCUUGGGUUUACCAACCAAUUGGAUUAUGUUAUUUCAAAUUUGAUAUCUUUUAUAAAAGAAAACAAAAUAUUGUCAAGUUAUAUUAUAUUUUUAAAGUAAAAAGAUAAAAAAUAAAAAAUAAAAAUAGUAGUAAUUACAAAAAAAAAAAAUUUAACGUCGUCAGGAAAAAACUAAACCUUAAAUCCUAAUCCCUAAACCCUAAACCCUAAAUCCGAAACCCUAAACCCUUGGGUAAACUCUAAACCCUUGGAUAAAUCAUAAACUCUAAAUCAAAAACACUAAAACACUCAAGGGUUUAGGAUUUUAGUGUUUAGCGUUUUUGAUUUAGAGUUUAUGAUUUAUCCAAUGGUUUAGGAUUUACCCAAGGGUUUAGGGUUUACCCAAGGGUUUAGGGUUUCAGAUUUAGGGUUUAAGGAUUAUGAUUUAGGGUUUAGUGUUUUGCUGACGACGUUAACAAUAUUUUUUAAAAAAAAAUCUUUUUUUUGUAACUACUAUUUUUUUUAUCUUUUUAUUUUAAAAACAUAAUAUAAUUUGACAAUAUUUUGUUUCCUUUUUUAAAAGAUAUCAAAUUUGAAAUAAUAAAAUUUUAUUGAUUGGUGAACCUAGAGGCUAGGGUGAACCCAAGAAUAACUCGUCAUUUUCUUAGUUUAAUAGUAUUGAUAACUUACCAUGAAUAAAUAAUAUUUUUUGAAGGUAAUCCCACGGAUAAUGGAAGAUGAUGUCACGUCUUUUAAUUAAUGACUUUUUUAAAUGAAAGAUAAGUGAUUAAACAUUGCUUCUUGUUGCCAUCCCUUGUGGCAACACACUGGAAUUUUUUUUUUUCAAACUAGAAGUUAAAAGAGAACUGUUAUAUAAUAACAACUAGAUAUUGAUCCGCGUGGAUGUUGGUUUGUACAUUUUAUACAUCAAUAUUUAUUUUUUAUAAUUAGUGUUAUAUAUUUUAGAUGUAUCAUAAUAUAACUAAUGAUAUUCAAAAGACCUGGACCGAAUCAGGUAAUAUGGUUAUUUUGUUACAAAUAUCCGAAUCCGCUUUAGAUACAUUGGUUAUUUAGAUAUUUUUAGGUUCAUAUACAUCAGAACUGAAUUCAUCCAGAUCCAGAAUGACUCAACUCAAAACCCAUACAUAAAUUUAUAAUAUUUAAGCGGGACCUUGUUUCAAAACAAAAAAAAAAACGAUACCCGAAAGGAACAACAUGUACAUAAAUGGAUAGAUAAUGUUCAUUUACAACUGAUUUUAUAAACUAAUAAAAAAAAUUUAUUUUUAUGUGUUUGGCUAAAAUAGGUGAAAUAAAAAUAGUUUUUUGUUAAGUAAAAUAAUUAUAUGGAGUGAAAAUUAAGUGGCAAUAAAUGUAGCACAUUUUUAUUAUUUUUAUUUAAGUUAUUAUUUUAUUUACAAAAACAUAUCUUUGAAUUAUGUUUUUGGCUACGUAAUUUUCCACCGAUUGAAACUCAAAUAAAAAUGUUUAAAUAAAACAAACUAAACCAAACAUUUAAUCAUAUGAAAAACCUAGUUAUUUAAAAAAUUUGAUUUUAUAAUUGGCACAAAGUUAAUAUUGAUUAACUAAUAAAUAAAAAUAUGCACUACUAUUAUGGUAAUAUAAUUAAUGAUGUAAAUUAUUGUUAAAGUAAUAUAAUUAAUAAAAUUGUUAAACUAAGUGAAAUAUGAAAAUACAAUUAAUAGAUACUGCUAUUCAUAUAUCCAAACAAAUUUUAUUAAAACUACUAUUCAAGUUUCCAAACAAUCUCAUUGUGUACUUUAACUUUAAUAAUAUAGAUUACAAAAAUAUAUCUUUGAAUUAUGUUUUUGGCUACGUAAUUUUCCACCGAUUGAAACUCAAAUAAAAAUGUUUAAAUAAAACAAACUAAACCAAACAUUUAAUCAUAUUAAAAACCUAGUUAUUUAACAUUUUUGAUUUUAUAAUUGGCACAAAAUUAAUAUUGAUUAACUAAUAAAUAAAAAUAUGCACUACUAUUAUGGUAAUAUAAUUAAUGAUGUAAAUUAUUUUUAAAGUAAUAUAAUUAAUAAAAUUGUUAAACUAAGUGAAAUAUGGAAAUACAAUUAAUAGAUACUGCUAUUCAUAUAUCCAAACAAAUUUUAUUAAAAUUAUUAUUCAAGUUUCCAAACAAUCUCAUUGUAUACUUGAACUUUAAUAAUAUAGAUUCGAUGUUUCUUAUUUUUGAAAAUGGUUUGGUUAGGUGUAAAGUCUGGACUAAAAUAUAAGUUAAUCCCCCUCGAGAAUUCACUUAAUAUGAUUUGAUUAGUCUAGUUAAUUAUGACUCAAUAUAUGCAUAUUAUAUGUUUUAUCUUUAACAAGUCACAAUGACGUGCUUCCCACAUAAUCAAAUCUAGUUAUAUAUACAGUACACUAAAAAUACAUAUAUACCUAACCAUAUAUAUGUUUUAUACUUGUACUGACAGGUUUCUAAUAUCACCUUGGUUACUUUUUUUCAUUUCGGAUUGGGAUGUAUUAAAUAGUAAGUUACAAUUUAAAAUAAACAACAUCGUAUUGCAGAAUCAGCAAGCAUAAGAAAUCAGAGAUCGUCAAAUUCAUUUAAAAUAUAUAUAUUUGUUGGAUAUCUUUCUGACAUUUUCUUAUGACUUCACCCCAAUAAAUGUUUAUAAAUCAUGUUGCAAAGUCAGCAAGCAUCAGCAUAAUGUUUAUAAAUCAGUCUUCUAUAUACUUUAAUCAGUAAACAAGAUUAUGUAUAUUGUGGCCUUGUGGGAUAUAUCUCAAAAUAAUAUCUUUUGAAUACUUGAACAAAAAACGUAUAGUUAAAGUCAAAUCGUAGGAAGUUCCAACUUCUGAAGUCACUGCUAUACAUUCAAGCAUCUCAAAUUAUUCAAUACUAAAUAAAUAUAAAAUCGGAUAUAUUUUGCCGAGUUCGUCUGUUUAAACUAACUUUGAGCAUGUUGGAAAAAAAUGAAACUUAAGUUGAGCAUACUUCAGCAUUUUUCUGAAGCAAAGAACGUGUAAGGAGAUAAAUCGGUCAACUUCAUCUUACGUAAGCCUUCGUAUCUUUAACCAAAAAAAAAAAAAAAGCCUUCAUAUCUAACAUUUUUAAACAUACAUAAACAAAGCAACAACAUAUUUAAAAUAUUUUUUUUUGUAAACUAACAUAUUUAAAAUAUUAUGAUGCAGAUGUUAUUAAUAUUUUUUUUGUCAACAUAUUUGCAGAUUUAGACAAGAAAAUGAAUACGUGAACAGUUUUUAAAUAUUUAUCUCACUCGCUGUGAAGCCAGAAGAAUAAAUCAAGCUAUAUAUAUGGAGUUUUCGUUUCGUUUUCAUGAUAUUGCAUUUUACAUAUAUUAUUUUAAUAGAAAAUCUUAGAAGAGGAUUCUUUUUGUUGUUUUUGAUGCAUUUAUAUACUAACAGACAUCGCUGUAAACGAUAACUAUUGUUAUAAAAAGAUUCAGUAGUUGAAUAUUCACGAAGGUUGUGUGUCGCACUAGUUUUGCUAAUUUUGAAGGACAACUGAGUAUAUGAUUGUUUAAUAAAGUCGAGAAGAUUAAUUGAAAAACUGUCUCGGAUUAGGGUUCGUGCUUGUUGUAAGUAGUUCCGCGUGCUUACCUAUAAUGCAUCUGAAUCUUCAGAUUAUUAAUAUAGUUUUUUAAGAUUCAAUCUUAAUUAUAUAAUAAUGCUAAAGCUAGCUGGUUAUCUUGGCUAAGAUAUAUAUAUAUAUAUAUAUAUAACACUAAGAUUCUUUAGCGGAAUAAGAUCUAAAUCUAAUCGAUAUAUUGUAGAAGGAGAUCGUCGUGAGUUUGAGAUCAGGUCAAACAACGAAACUUGGCAAGAAUCAUACCCAAAAAAAAAUCUUUUGUAAAAUUAAUUAGUUCCAUAAGCUAGGUUUUAUUUUAUCAAAACGGCUCAAAGUGUUUCUGAAAGAACUCUAUGUUACUAUUGGUUGGAUAAACGCCUAUACUUUUGAGAGCUUCUUUUACAGCUUGAUUAUCCAGUUUUUUACUCCAUAUAAGUUUUGUGAUGAAUACAAAAAAGAUCCCAGCAUAUAACGAUUUUCAGCUUCUUAAAGUAUUCUUUUGUUAAUUAAGAUUUUAUUUAUUUAUUUUGCGUUGUACUAUAUUUUUCUUGUAAUUUUUCCUGUUGUAUUGUAGUAAUUGGUUUUCAAAUUAAUACACUGAAAACCGGAAUUGAAGUAUUGAACACAUUCAUUAUUAAGCAUAUAUAUAUGAGAAUACACAAAACACACCAAUAUCCUAGCGACAUACAUUAUCCAGAUCAUCAAAUCACAACAUUAACAACAUUAUCCUAUAUAUAUAUAUAUACUAGAAGCCAACAUCCAACAUGUAACUAUAAUUAUAUUCUACUAAUUAAAGCCCUAACCUAAGAUCUAAUGAACACCCUGCUGUGUCCGAAGUAGACGAAAUAUCAUGUAUUGUUGCAGGAACAUUCAGAUCAACCGCACCACCGACCAUCGUCUCCUCUUCUUUCUCCCAGUGACAUCUCAUGUGACCUCCUAAAGCCUGGCCACUAGAGAACACUCUAAAACAUACAUUACACUUAUGAUUCCCCAUAAACGUAACGAUCUUACCCUGAUGAUCUUGAUCACUAGGAGUAGUAGUAGUAACCGUCAUAGGAUCAUCAGCCACGUUCGUGAUAGCGAAGCAUCCUUUAACGUUCUUGUGACUAGCUCUAUGUCCUCCUAAAGCCUGAUGUGAUCCAAACACUUUCUUGCAACCUCCACACUCGAACCGCUCACCACAGCUUGAUGAUGACGGCAUGGAAUUAGCCAGCAUUAAGAGAUAAGAAGCGACUUCAUGAUCUUCCUCGGUCAUAAGGGAGACCCAAUUUGGUGAUCUCUGGUUCUGGUUUGAAAAUGAAGCCGGGGUGGGGCCACGGUGGUUAGGAGGAGGGUUGAUGCCACGCCAUUGACGCUCAGGGUGACAUCUCAUGUGACCAAAGAGAGCCUUCCAAGACCAAAACGUUUUGCCACAUUCGGUACAUGGACGUGUGAUUUUGGGGGCAUUUGGGUCUGGCUUUCUAGGGUAUUUUGGUUUUGGUUUUGGUGAAGAAGUAGAGGGUAAUGCAACCGUUUUGGUGCGUUUCUUUCUAGGGCUCUGGUCGUAACUUGGAGAUAAAGCAAGUUGGAGAUUUGGAGUACGGUAGAAAGGGAUGAUUGCGUUGGAUGUAGGGUUAAGUGGAGUGUGAAAAUUGGGAUCUGAAUCGGAAUUGUUGGUGGUCAUUGUGAUCACGUAGAGAAAUUAAGUGAUGAAAGAAAAGAGAAAAAAGGAUGAAAGUUGGAGAAAGGGUGGCUUAAGUAGACGAGGAGGAAGAAGAAGAAGAAGAAGGAGACGGUUACGUGGGGAGGAAGUUAUGGAGGGACAGGGAGACAGUUAACUUCAGUUGAGGAACAGAGCGGUUUACUUUGUAAGGAAAGGCUUAUCACCUUUGCAGUUUGAAACCACGUUGUCGAGUGUUUUGUUUGCUGGGCCAACUUUAUGGGCCUUCUAAUCCGAAUUCUCCAUCAGUAUAAUGACGAAUUAAAACUUGGUUUGAUUUGCUGGUUUAGUUUGUUUUUUUUUGUCAUCGGUUUAGUUUGGUUUAUAUUUACAUUCUUAGCAAUAAUUGAACCGGAACUCAGUUCUCUCCGGUUGGGUUUGGCUUUUCUCUAGGUUAGUGAUUACUGUGAUUAGUUAGUCUUAACUACUUUGAAAAACAUUAUUUUCCUAAAUAUUAAUCUAGGAUUACUACAUAGUUUGCAUGGUUGAACACAAAAAAGUUAAACAUAUCUUCUCCUUUCCCAAAAAAAUAGAUAUGGUUCAAGUAACUAAAUAAGAAGCAGCAGAUGUCACACGUCCACAUUCAACACACACUUUUCUUAACCAUUAAUCCCAUUGACUUGAACCGGCAACGUGGACUCAGUGUGUUGACCAUAAAUAAAUGGUCAUCAACUUAUACAAUCCGAAUAUUCAAGACUUGUCAAAAAAAAAAGAAGAAUGUUCUCAUAUACCAAGUAGUAUAAAAGACUAAAAGAGGAAGUGGUUUAUCAAUAAUCCAAAGAGGAAGAAGGUGAGAGGAAACCGCUAGGGUCAAGGAAAUGUAGCUGUGAGCACGCAAAGCAGUCUAAAGAACUUUCUUCCCACAAUCGGCGCCGUAAGAUAAACAAAACACACUCUCAUCCAACGAAUGUAAUUGUCCGACCAGUCUCUCACCAAACAUAAACCCAAAAAUCUAUUUUUUAUUCGUGAGAUUCGAAUAAAAUUUGUUAUACUAUAUUGUAUUAAACCGAGAGCAGCUUUCCUUUGGUGGAAAUAACAUUAAAUAUUGUAGCUUUCCUCUUCUUGUUCCACUUUCUUUUGUCUCUCAGAUUCAUUCUCAGUCAGUUAGACUUCUGUGUCACCCUUCUCUGAUUACUUACUGGUAAGUUAUAACUAGAUCCUCUUUUUGCUUUAUUUCAUUCCUCUGUUUCUGAUUCCUUUGUAAGUAAACUCAGAUUUGACUUUUUAGUAGCUCCUUUUUGACUCUCUGUUCUUUCUAAUGGUUGAUCUGAUCUGGGGGGGGGUUUGUGUCUUUCUUCCUUGUGAGUGUUAAAGUUCGUUACUUUACUCUCUAUAAGCUUCUUUGAUUUGGUCUGAUGAGUUUUUAUCUGAACUGUUAGUUGGAUAAAGUAACAUAAAGUGAAAGUUGAUGUACUUUUAAAUGCUUAAUCUGAUGUUGGUUAUGUGAUUUUCUUAUCGCUUAAAGUUUGUUACUUUCUUGUUUUUAGCUUCUUGGGUUUGGUCUGUUACUAGAGGGUUUUGACUUGUUUAUAAUAUCUAUUUGAACAGUUAAGUUGGAUGAAGAAGAGAGAUUGAAAGUUAGUAUCUUUUCCACUGUUUCAUGGGCAAUUCAUGCCGUGGAUCUUUCAAGGACAAACUCUUCCAGACCAAUAACAGUACUAAGCUUGAAGACAACUCCAAAACCUCUACAAACGUCACUUCAAACCGCUCUAGUUCCACCAACACUGAAGAGUUCUCCUCUCCCAAGAAAGACAGCAAAAACUCACCUCUUGUUAUCCCUUCAAAAGAACCAAUCAUGAGACGCAACAUGGACAACCAAGCUUACUACGUCCUCGGUCACAAGACCCCAAACAUUCGUGAUCUCUACACUCUCAGCCGCAAGCUAGGACAAGGCCAGUUCGGCACAACCUACCUCUGCACAGAACUCGCCACUGGCGUCGACUACGCUUGCAAGUCAAUCUCCAAGAGGAAACUCAUCUCCAAAGAAGACGUUGAAGACGUUAGACGAGAGAUUCAGAUCAUGCACCACUUAGCUGGUCACGGCAACAUCGUGACGAUCAAAGGAGCGUAUGAGGACUCUUUGUACGUCCACAUUGUGAUGGAGCUUUGCGCUGGAGGGGAGUUGUUUGAUAGGAUUAUUCAGAGAGGGCAUUACAGCGAGAGGAAAGCUGCUGAGCUGACUAAGAUCAUUGUGGGAGUUGUGGAAGCGUGUCAUUCUCUUGGUGUGAUGCAUAGAGACUUGAAGCCUGAGAAUUUCUUGUUGGUUAAUAAGGAUGAUGAUUUCUCUCUCAAGGCUAUUGACUUUGGUCUUUCUGUUUUUUUCAAACCAGGUAAAAACUGUCUGAAAAGCUUUAGUUAAUGUUUUCCUUAAUAGUGUUCUAAAAAUCGGUCUAGGCGGCUACUAAGUGGUAAAUAGAGUCUAGACGUUCAAAAGAUCAGUUUAGAAGUCCAUCUAAUCAAUAAUCUCCUAUAAAGCGCCUAAUUACCGCCUAAGAAUUUCUUGAAUGAUUUUUAGAAAAAAUCUGUCUAGGAGAAGCCCGUCUAAUUAGUAAUCUCCUAUAAAACUGCCUAAUUACCGCCUAUGGAUUUCUUGAAUGAUUUUUUUUUAAGAAAAAAAAUCUGUCUAGGCUAUCAAAAGAUUGGUUUAGACGCCCGCCUAAUCAAUAAUCUCCUAUAAAAUGCCUAAUUACCACCUACGGAUUUUCUUGAAUAUUGAUUUGGUUGGUUUUAAUAUUCCUGUGAGUUUCAGGUCAAAUAUUCACUGAUGUUGUUGGGAGUCCAUAUUAUGUUGCUCCUGAGGUUUUGCUCAAACGUUAUGGACCUGAGGCUGAUGUAUGGACCGCUGGUGUUAUACUGUAUAUAUUGCUAAGCGGAGUCCCACCGUUUUGGGCAGGUAAGUGUGAUUGGUGUUUGGUCAUAUAAGCUCUUUAGAAAGUCUGAGUCACCUGAGAUGUGUUUUGUUUUGUCUUAUUUUUGUUGGGGAAUCAGAAACACAGCAAGGGAUAUUUGAUGCUGUGUUGAAGGGAUACAUUGACUUUGAUUCAGACCCUUGGCCUGUGAUAUCAGACAGUGCUAAAGACUUGAUCCGCAGAAUGUUAUCCUCUAAGCCUGCAGAGCGCUUGACAGCUCAUGAAGUCUUGCGUAUGUCUCCACAUUAAAGUAAUGGUUACAUUUUAGCAACAAGCACUAGGCUUACAUCUACUUGUUUGCAGGUCAUCCUUGGAUCUGUGAGAACGGUGUUGCACCAGAUAGACCACUUGAUCCGGCUGUUCUGUCUCGGCUCAAGCAGUUUUCUGCAAUGAAUAAACUAAAGAAGAUGGCUUUGAAGGUGAUAGCUGAGAGUCUCUCUGAGGAAGAGAUUGCUGGUUUAAGAGAAAUGUUCCAAGCAAUGGAUACUGAUAACAGUGGUGCAAUCACCUUUGAUGAACUCAAAGCUGGUCUGAGGAAAUAUGGAUCUACUUUGAAAGACACAGAGAUCCAUGAUCUUAUGGAAGCGGUGCAAAAAACUUAAAAUCUUAUUUGAAUGUAGUGUUGUUUGUCUGUUCUAACAUGGAGCUUCUUGUGUUUGACAGGCUGAUGUGGACAACAGUGGGACGAUUGAUUACAGCGAGUUCAUUGCAGCGACGAUCCAUCUCAACAAGCUGGAGAGGGAAGAGCAUCUUGUGGCUGCGUUUCAGUACUUUGACAAAGACGGAAGUGGUUACAUAACGAUAGACGAGCUGCAGCAAGCGUGUGUUGAGCAUAGUAUGACUGAUGUUUUCCUUGAAGACAUCAUCAAAGAAGUUGAUAAAAACAAUGUAAGCUUAUUAUAACGACUUUGUUCUUCAAGAUUCUUCUCUAAAGACUUGUGUCUAGGCCUAGAUGAUAAAAAGUUUUUUGUAUGUUACAGGAUGGACAAAUUGAUUAUGGUGAGUUUGUGGAGAUGAUGCAAAAGGGAAACGCUGGUGUUGGAAGAAGGACGAUGAGAAACAGUCUGAACAUUAGCAUGAGAGACGCUUAGAGGUCGUUAAUUUUCCCCUGGUGGUUUGUGACUUCAAAAAUGUUUAUGUUCAUGGGAUCAACAAUCUCUAGUGAGCUUUGUUUAUCUUCUUUCUUUGUAAAACGAAAAAUUGUCAUCAAUGUUGUGUGUUUUCUAAGGAUUUUUUACUUUGAAAAUCUCUUUCUACUUUCUAGAGGAUCAUGACCUUUCGUCCACAACUUGAAUUAAAUAAAAUCAAUACAAUACUAAAAGGGAAUAUAAGCUAUGGAGAGGGUGUCCACGUCCUCACCAAAAAUCGACCCAUAUGAGGUCAGAUUUUCGCCACGUCAGCAAAAUACUCUCUCCAAACCGUGACACCUGUCCGGUCUAUUACUAAAUUCUGCGUUUUGUUAAAUCAAACUCGGUUUCUGAUAGGUCUUUUUUUUAAUCAAGCUUUUCGUCUUUCUUCGUUGAAGUCUCACGGACUCCUCCAUCUCGAGUGCUGCUUCUCACGCCGUCUAGGACCUGUCUCGAUGCCGCUGCGUCUCUGCUCCCCUCUGGGCCUCCAACGGCUCCGUGCUGCAUCUACUCCUUUGUGAGGGGCUAUGUAUCUUCUCCUUUGACUCAUUAUACUAUGCGACUCCAUAUUUAUUUUCCUUCUCUAUCUGUCGCCGGCAAUGGUGGUUGAGCCUCUUGGAUCUGCUCUGCUCUGAGGUAUUUGCAGAUUUUCCGUCUCUUCGUUUCAUGAUUGAGAUUUUGAUUUUGAUUAUAAUUUUAAUUUACUUCUCUCUUGCCUUUUCGUGUUUGUUCAGAUUGAAUCUGAUUAUAUUUGAUUAUCAAUCUGUUAUAUUCGUGUGUGUUUGGGAAUCUGUUAGGUUAUGAUUUGAUUUAUCUGAUAUUCUUAUUUGAGAGUUUGAAGAUAGGCAUGUUGUUCGAUUGUUGAUAAAUGACAUAACAGUAAAUCAGGUUUCAUAUUCAAGUUGAACCUAAGUUGAUAGGCAUGUAGCCAUCACAAACAUCAUGAAGAAACCAGAUAUGCAAUAGGAUUUGAAAAUGAGAGCAGGAAUAGGCUAACAGUGGACUUAACUUGCUACUUACACUCCUCAAGGAAAAAAAAACGUGUCAUUGCAAGUUGCAACCAUCAAAAUUGAUAAGUUGCAUAACUUCAUCACUGUGAAUAGAUGUUGAGCAUUUAGUGUUCUGUUUUCUCUUGACAGUGACGUGUCUGUGACGUUGAGUCUGUUUGACUGGCAAGCUAUAUCUUUUCACAGCAAGCUAGAAAGUCUUCGGUGAUCCUAAGGUUGUUAACAAGUAUCAACUCCAAGAUUGUAGGAGGUAUUUUUGUUUAAAUGGGAUGACUAUAAUAGUUCUUGGCCCUAACGAAAUCAAUAUUUUGCAAGGCAUCUGUUCUUGAACGCCACAUCAGGGACCCAUAUAACUUUCGACAAAGAGAUUAAUUUGAUCUCAGUUUGUUAGUUUACUUAUUCAUCACAUAAUUAGUGAAUUCCUGCACAACACUGUAUGUUGUUUUCCGUUGACAUUGGCAUUACUCCAGCAUCUUCAUUACUGAGGGGCUACACUAAGCUUGAGCCUCUAACCAUAGCUGAAAUGAGUUCAUCAUCACUGCCCAGCCACAGGUUAUAUAGCAAGCUUUAUUUGUUAUAAUUCUUCCAUGACUGUACUCUGUACGUGAUCCCAAACUUUGUAAAUGCAGGAUAUCGCCUUCAUAUGCACCGGUAGGGGCACUGGGAUCAAGAUGGACAAAGGCUGGUGUUACGUCUCUUUCUCCAUGUGUACAAAGAAGCUUUAGCGGACUGUAUCAUCCUUCACUUGUGUCUUGUGUGGCCUGCAACAACACUAAUGUUGUUGGUGUGCUAAGGUAUAUUGGAUCCUUUACCUUUUAUUAGAUUUGGAAUUAAGAAACACACACAGAGGCAACAAUAUAUUUUAUAAACACUUAAUUGUCUGCAACGUAUUGUGUGUAGAUGAGUAUUGCUGAUGAGACUGCUGAGGGCCUGUUUGUUGGCAUCGAUGGGGUAAUACUAAAUUGCAUCUCAUACGUGCAUAUGAACCUGGUCAUCUACUGGUACGUAGCUAUCGCAUUAUGUAGCAUCAUCCUACAGUUUCCUCUGGAUCUUUCGUCAGCUCUCACAUUUAAAACAUGUAACUAAUAGGCUGGAGAGGGAGUUAACUCAGAAGAAGAAGAGGCUCGGUGGAGAGCCGAGCGUGAAGCUGCAGAGAGAGAAGUUGCUAGAGUGAGAAUGAGACAAGAGUAAGCACUUGCUCUUGGACUGUUUAUUUCCCAUGAUAAUGUAGAUUUUUGUAAGGUUCCUGAAUGGAUAAAGAAAAGGGAGAAGGUUUGAAAGCAAUACCAAGAUACAAACAUUGUAUGACUACGUUGAUUCACUUGGAUGCUAGAAACAGAAGAGUAUAGCUUAAUCACAAACUUUCCAAGAAGUAUGGAAGAGACAAAGAGUCAAUGUCACUCAAAGAUGCAAGUUUGCAUCCUCAGGCAAGUCUUUUCAGUGAGAUAAACUAAGUUUCAGAUUCUUCUUUUUCUUUCUCCUUAAGUCACUCUUUUUCCAGUUUUUUUCAUCUCUUUUAAAAUAAUUAGUAGUGUUGCUUCAGUGAUCCGAUGAACAAGAUAACAUAUAUACAUAUAUUCAGAAGUUGUGUCACAUAUUUGAAAUAUUUAGUUCUUAAAAUGAUGAGCUUUCGCAUUGUAUUUUUUUUUUGGUGUUAUAUUGAAGACAUGAAGAUCAGUCUUCGUUUCUAGCUGCAACAAAUAAUUUUUUACCUGGAAAAGUUUUGCAGAUAAAAAAUGUUGUAUAUUGUGAAUUGGAAGAGAAGAUGUAUGAAAAAGUACAAUCGACUAACAUUUUUUAAAAAGAUUAAGAAUAAAAAUGUUGAUGACAAAAUAAAAUAAUUAUAUAUUGGUGUUAAGCUAACUAAAUGAUUUCUAACAAUGAUAAUAUAUUAAAUAGUAAUAAUUAUAAGAGAAAAUAGUGAGAAUAAUACGAAAUGAUUUCUUGGAUAAUUCAUCAUAACUUAAUUACAUCAUUAAUCAUAAUAAAAUAAGUACUAUUAUAAGUUCGAACAUUUUUUUUGAUGCCAUCUCAACAAACGAGAAAAGAAAACAUGAUACAUCAGUGUAAAAUUUAAAAAUUUAUAAUAAAAUUCUCAUUUUUAACAUUGAAAUUUUGAAUAUAUUAACAAUAAAUCAAAUUCCCUAUAAAUAAUAUUUAUAGCUAACAAUACAUCAUAUAGUUAUGGUUGUUUGUUAUUUUUUUGGUUUAGCCUAAACUUUGGUAGUAAAACAAAUUGUGGAAUUCAUUAUUUUUAAUUUUUUGUUGAUGUGAGUUUGAAAAAAACACAAAAAGAAAAACAGGAAUAUAUUUCUCAAAUAUAAUAAUACAUAAAUAUAUAACCUAACAUAUAUUUGUAAAUAUUAAAAAAUAACAAUUGAUAUCAAAUUUUUAUGCUACUUGACUAUUUUCCAAAAAAAAAAAGAUAAAAAAUGGCUUUUCCUUUUCGAUUUUUUAAAUUAUAUAAUUUGAGAAGAAAUGUAUUUAAAAUCCAAUAAAUUCAAGAUAAGCAAAUAUUGUGAACAAAGUAAAAUAUUUAUAUUUUAGUGAAUUGUUUAAAUAUAGUAUAACAAAUGCAUAAUUUCAAAAACAAAAGAAAUAGUAAAAUUUGUAGUAAUAAAUAUUGAAAAUUAUAAUAAAAUAAACUGAAAUUUUCAUUAAAAUUUAAAAUGUGUUUGUAUUGUUUCAUUCAUUUGCUUACCCACCCAAUAAAACACUACUAUUAACGUGUUGGGUGAAGCAGAGCUAUUGGAGGAAGCCGAAGGAGCUCUCUUUUUUUUUCUACUUGCUGGAAAAAGGGUAACAUUGAGAUGGCUGAAAGAGUAGUAAAGUGUUUGCUGAAGCUGGAUCCAGAUGUGCACAUAUCUAAUGCUUUCUCUUUAUGUGUUUUUCGAAGAGACAGUUAAUCAGAGGGUUUUCAUGAAGGAAACACGAGUGAAGAAGGAAGUACGUGCAGUUCGAUGGAGGUAGAUUACAAAGUUCACGAGUUUGUUAUUCUUUUUGCCGGAAAAGACACAAUAGAUUCUCAGAACAUCAACAACAAAUUCAGUGUCAAGUAUUAUCUGAAUCUUUUCCUGGUGGACAAAGAGGAUCGUUGUUACAUCAAGCAGCAAGAAAUGACGUUGUACAAGCUCAAGGAGGAGACAUUUUGAUGUUUACGGAAAGAAAAGAACAAAUAAGAAUUUUUCAGAACUUUGUAAAGCGUUUUUCUUAAGAUUUAUUUUUCCUGUAUGAAAUUGGUUGGAGACUAGGAGUCAUGAAAGUUAAACAGUGUAAGUUUGUUCAAUAAUUAGAAUUAUAGAAUUUUGCUUAAGUUAUCAACAAUUACUUUUGUUUUGUAUGUUUUUUACUAUUGCAAGUACAAGCUACAUAUGAUGAUUAAUUUCGGUUAUUUUAUCCAACUUAAUACUUAUGGUUCACUCUCUACGUACAAAAACGCUGACUUUUUAUUCCAAGGUAAAAUAGAUAAUAAUAUGAUACUUUGAUAUGAUGAACCAUAGAGAUUAUAUGAGUAAUAUUGAGGUUUUUACAUAGCAACGCUGUGAACCCCCUCUUAUCAGCUCCAAGACAAAAAUAUUAUAACCAUAAUUUCCAUUAGUGAGCGAAGGCAAUCAUUGAAUAUCAACUAAAAUUAAUAAAUUGUCAAUCUUUUUUAAGAAAUUCAACUACAUUAUUUGGAUUUUCUUAGGAAAACAUAUAGAUAGCUAUUAGAGAAUAUUAUUAUAUUUUUAAUAUGUUGUUUUGCUGCAUGAAAACAAAAGUAUUUGACAUAAAUUCAGAAUUUUUUUAAAUGUACAUCACUUUUAGAUUUCAAUUGUUCGUCAUUUCACCACUGCCUUAAGAACGAAUUCAUAUACAUUUUCUUAUCACCAAAUAAUAAAUUUUAAAAUACACAUUGGUUAAUUUUAACGUUCAAAUAAUAGACAGUCAAUAUUUAAAAUGUUAAAAUAUACAUUGGUAAUUUUAACGUAAAAAAAAUGUUUGAAUUAUAUGUUAAUAUAACCAUAUAUUUAUAAAAUUCAAAUAAAUGAGAUAAAAGAAUAAUUGAAUUUCAACUAAAGUUUAAUUUAUUUUCUUAUUCAGUUUGUUUACCAAGUUAUAUGUAUUUUGACAAUGAAAGAAUUUUUAAAAAAUUUAGUCACCAAAACCAAUACAAAAUAUCAAAAUUUUCUAAUAAUUUAUAUAGCAUUUUCAGUCUAUGUGUAAAAUAUGUAGUCAAAUACAAAUUUUAUUAUAAACUAAUUAAAUUAAAAUAAAUAAAAAAAUCCGGGCGUAGCCCGGAAAAAUCUCUAGUAUAUAUAAUAAGGUUUGUAAAUACCAAUGGCGUUUGACGAGCUAGCAAGUCUCAAUCAUGUAAUCAAAGUUGCUUUUUCUAAGUAUGUGUCCUUUUAAAAAUCUCAAAUAAAACCCAAAACUCAAGGCUGUUCACAACAAAUCAUACAUUGGCAACGAUCUGUAAUUUGGAACAUUAUUUACCAAAACCAUUUUAUAUGUUGUACGAACAUAUUCACAUGCUUUGUAACGCCGCAACCUUUAACAUAAUUUAUUUGAUCAAUUUAAUAUUUGGUAAUCAGCACAUUCUUACCUAAACCAAAGUUUAAACCGUUCAUUGUUACUCGAAGUCAAAUUUUAGCAAACAUCGUAUAACCAUAAUCGAUAAAUAGUUUAAAACAUAAAACAAUAAAUAGCAAUACGCCACCGACGAUAUUGCAUCCACCGACAAAUGUUAUGUCGGCUACAGGCCACACACACAUGACAAAUCUCAGUUAUACCAUGCAAUCGAAGUGUCAUUAAUACUUGUGUCGGUCGUAGAUCGUCAGGGUUUGAUAUGUUGUUAGAGUUUUGCUUGUAAAUUAUUAAAACUAUUUUCAUUAAUGGUGGUAAAAAAAUUGGCGCCGUAUAAAUAACUGAAACAGAAUAACAUGUUCCUACAUAAUUUCAUGGUUACAAAAUACAACUGCACAAGAUGUAAAGAAAUCAAAAUAAAUCAUUAUUAACUAUAGCAACAAAAUACAAACAUCGAACUUUCCAAAAACACAUCCCCUUAUGGUUGACUAUAAUCCAAUUGAUUGAUACGAAGAUCAUAUUUUAUAAGAGCCAAAUUACAAAAGCUUAACCGUUUAUUGACACUAUAGAGAGAGGAAUGAUAUCAGAAGAAGAGAGUCCAUGAGAGAUUGCGGAUCUGAGAUGGGGGUGACGUGCAUUAUACUACUUCCUCAGUUAUGUGAGCAGCCGAUUGAUCUAGCUUCUUGGAAAGGAUCCAUGAACGACUCCAUUCCCACCAGCUUCUUGCUUGUUCUCCUAUAGCAGAAACAGAUUGGAAUCCAGCUGAUGCUAUCUCCGUUGGUUUGUUUGAGAGAUUGAGUGAGAGUGAAGAAAGGCUACGUCGGAUGAUACCUGCAGGCUUAUCAUCAUCGGUGGUGGUGGAGGAAGUAGGACGCUGAGAAACGGGGAGAGAAACUUGUUUGCGAAUCUGGAGAGUUUCCAUCAUCGAGCUCAUUGCUUUUUUUUUUAGAGAGAGAGAGAGAGAUGAAGAAGAAGAAAUGAAAUGUUUUGGAGUAAUAGAGAGAAAGUAGUG